GGUCCAGAGCCAUCCGCUUCCGGGUCAGGCUAAGCCGCCUGCUCUUCGCUGCUACUGUAGGUGCCGCGCUGUCGGCGUUCGCUGCUCCUGGAAAAGCCCGAGCCGCGACACCGCCGGCCUUAGCGCUGCGCUGCCCGGAACCGCCCCUAAAGAGGAGACCCGGGGCGGGGUCGCGCCUCGGGCCUCCGCUGCGGUCCCCGGCAGGCGGGAGCCGGCGCUGCGGGGCCUGCGGCGGAGCGCGAUACCCCUCCCCGGCCGCCCUGUCUACCUUGCCGGGGAAGGCGGAAGAUGCCAGUGAAGAAGAAGAGAAAAGCUCCCGGAGUGGCAGCGGCGGUCGCGGAAGACGCGGGCCUCAAAAAGUGUAAAAUCCCCAGCUAUUGCAGAUCCCAGCCUCCUGCUAGACUCAUCAGUGGAGAGGAAGAUUUUUCAAGAAAGAAGUGCCUGGCUUGGUUUUAUGAGUAUGCAGGUCCUGAUGAAGUUGUAGGGCCAGAAGGAAUGGAAAAAUUUUGUGAAGACAUUGGUGUUGAACCUGAAAACAUUAUUAUGUUAGUUUUAGCAUGGAAAUUGGAGGCUGAAAGCAUGGGAUUUUUUACCAAGGAAGAAUGGUUAAAGGGAAUGACCUCAUUACAGUGUGACUGCACAGAAAAGUUACAGAGCAGGUUUGAUUUUCUGCGCUCUCAGCUGAAUGACAUCUCAUCUUUUAAGAAUAUCUACAGAUAUGCCUUUGAUUUUGCAAGGGAUAAAGAUCAGAGAAGCCUUGAUAUUGAUACUGCGAAGUCUAUGUUAGCUCUGCUGCUUGGGAGAACAUGGCCACUCUUUUCAGUAUUUUACCAGUACCUGGAGCAAUCAAAGUAUCGUGUUAUGAACAAAGAUCAGUGGUACAAUGUAUUAGAAUUCAGCAGAACAGUUCAUGCCGAUCUUAGUAACUACGAUGAAGACGGUGCUUGUUUCAGAGGUUGGAACCAAGUAGUGGCUUGUGUUGAACUUGCUCUCCAGUUGGCAGUCCACACAGUGUUCCAAUAUUGCCAUUUACUGCUUUGCCUGCCCAGCUGUUUUUGUAUGGUCUGCUAAAAGCAAGAGAGAAAAGAACACAGAGGUUUUAUGUUUUGAGAAAAACAAGACAAUCUUAUCUUCGUGGUCAUACUUUCCAUACAUUUUGAAAACACAAAUACUGAAACCUCAUUUAAAUGGCCCACUUGGCUCUGGUGGGCCUGUUCUUCUUGAUGAAUUUGUUGAGUGGCAAAAAAUCCGUCAAACAUCAUAGCAAGAACUGUCGUGAAGACAAUGCAAACCUUGUGAAGACAAUGCAGAGAGGAGGCAGAGUACAGAAAGGGUGCAUUUUCACUCACGAAAGACUUCUCAUAGUACUUCUUUUCCUUUUUUUUAAAGGAAGUUUUCUUGUUACAUGUGAUGGGCAUUGAGCCACAUGUCUUCUGAGACUGAAUAUUGACAUUUUUGUUUCAAGUUAUGUUUUUAACAUUUAUUUCAGAACAAUAAAGAUUCAGAUUUGUGACAAAGGCCUUAAAGUGAAGAUGUCCGUUGAGUGUCAGAGUGGUAUUUAUUUUUGUAAAUUUGAUUUCUUUAACUUUUGAAGUUCUAAAUCACCAUGAGUUUGUAGAUUUUUAAAGACUUUAAGCAAUCUAAAUACUUGAGAGUAUAACUUGCCAACGGUGUGGCUACUAAUAAUUCCUCUUUGCAUAAUUAGGAAACAUAGUAACCUUGACUUGUAGGAUCCUGUUUUUCUGAUAGCAGCUAAUAGUGUGGGAAGGGCUCCAACUGAAGGUUGUUAUGAAAAGCUAUUUAUGCCAACUUUAUCUAAAGAGUAUAGGAUUGGAAAGAUUAUGUCGAAGUUGUCUUUAUUUUCUAACCAUUAAGUUUUCAAUAAGUAUUCUUAAUGUGAAUUGUAAGUUUUCUGUAUUUCUGUAAGUUAAAAAGUCUUAUUUCUAAGAGUAUAGUCAGACAACCUUAGGAAAGCUUUAGAACCAGUAUUGAAGUUGUGCUCUUUCUUACCAUUAUUUAGUAAUUAGUGUGUUUUUAGCCAUGAAGCUAUAUGGAUUUGCUGAGAGCACUUUGUCUGAUUUCAGAAUACUUGAGCUUCAGUAUUGUAGACUUGGUUUGAUACACACUGGAGAAGAAGAGAACUAUAAGGAAGUAUGAGAGACUUGAUGGAAUUGUACACCUCAUAAGGCCAUUUACUUUGUUCCCUGUAUGAAGGUCAAAUUCAAGACCUUGAACUAUGUGAGGUACUACACUGAGCUAUACUCCUAACCCCAGGGAAGCAGUUUACAUUUACAGUCAUAAUUUGCUAUUUAUCACAGUCUUUGGCUACUAGCAGAAAGGUUAUGACAAACAUGUAUAAUUUAUGUGGAAGGUACAUUUUAGAUUAGCAUCAGGCCUAUAUGUUUAUUGCUUUUCAGAUCACCCAGUGUCUCCUUCUGUGAAAACUCUUGAGACCCAAAACCUGAGCUCCAUUCAUAUUAGUACUUGUUCCAUUGUAUAAGUAGAAAGAAAUAGAUACAUUCUCUUUUUCCAGAAAGAAAAUGUCAAUUGUGAUUUACAGCAAAGGUUGAUUUUUUUCCCCUUGGUAAAUUCGUUUAAUGAAUGAUUCUUAGUACUGCUUUCUUAAGGGAAAGUAUCAUUCUGAAGGUUUUAUUUGCCUUUGGUUGAUAAGUAAAAAGAACAUGAUUACUGCUGUUCCAUUUGCCUUCUUAAUAAGAUUACAAAGCUAUAUGAACCAUUAACAGAGCAGUGAGAAAUAACCUGUUCUGAAGACUUUCACAUGUGGGGCAUUUUCUAGGAUUGGUCAUUUUAUGUGUGAAACUUGUUAGUAGGCAUUAGCAUGCCAGCAGUGUUAUCAUUUAACAUCACAAAAGAUGGUUUAAAACAAGAUUUAGUACAAGAAAAGAUUUACAGUUUUACAGUUUGAGGGUGGGGCUUGGAGUUACUGGGGUCUUAAGUAGGGGAGGUCCUACAUAUAUACGAGGCAAGUGUUCUGUCACUGAACUAUACAUUUGCCCAGACAAAUAUUUGUAUUUGUCCAUCUAGACACUGGAAUUUAUAACUUAAAACAUUUUUUAGAUUAUUUCAUUGAUUGUUUUGCCUGCAAGUAUGUCUUUACACCGUGUCUCUACCUGGUGCCUGUGGAGUUCAGAAGAAGACAUCAAAUCAGAUCCCCUGGAACUGGAGUUGAAAAUGAUUUGAGCCACUAUGUUAGGUGCUAGGAAUAGAACCCUGGUCCUCUGCAAGAGCAGCCAGUGCUCUUAACUGCUGAGCCAUAUCUCCAGCCCCUAACUUUAUAAUUGUAUUAUCUUCUCCAAGGUACAAAUUGGAGAAUAUUUAAGUGAAAUCUUGCAAGCUUCUAGGAUAUAAUCUGAACUAAUGACCUAUCUAUCAUCUGUAUUUAAGUAAAAUAAUACUCAAAUCUUAUUGAUGACCUUUAAAAAGUAAAUGGAAGUGUAUUUCAUCUGUUACCUAUCCAAGAGUGGGAAAAGAGAACCUUUUAAAAGUUUUUUAAUCAGAAAGUUAAAUUUAAGUUCACUGGGUUUAUUUGUUUUUCCUUAAACUCAUCACUCCAGUUAUGUCGCCUUUACUCUUACUCCACGUAUUUCUUGUCUCUCAGUUGUUAAUAUUUGCCUGCUCUAAAGGCAAACUUGUCAUUUGUCAGGAUGGAGGCUAUUGUCGCCUUUACUCUUACUCCACGUAUUUCUUGUCUCUCAAUUGUUAUUAUUUGCCUGCUCUAAAGGCAAACUUGUCAUUUGUCAGGAUGGAGGCUAUGUCCCUUGAAUGUCAAACAUUUUAAGAGGCCUGCAGUUUAGAAAUGUACCUCCUUUCAAAAACUGAAGUGCCUUCCCAGAAAUUCUCUUAUAAAAUGUUCAGUUUUACUGUGUUAUAUAGAACGAAAUACCUAUGGUGCUUUAUAACGGUGGAGUUGACGUCUUAUAUAAUGUACAUGUGGAAGAAAUAGUUCCAGGUGUGGCAUUUUAUCAGGAAGGGUGGAGAGUUGGUCUCUAUAGCCUUUUGGGGUCAGUGAGAGUCAAGCCCAGUAGGUAGCAAAGCAGUGAUGUGUGAUAUACUUACCUGAUCGAUAGUCGUGCUUGUCUCUAACACCGAGAGAUGGCUUGUGUGAGUGCUGCUGAGAAAAUUCUUGAAUUCUUAAGACAGUGUCUCACUUUGUAUCCCAGGCUGGUUUUGAGCUCAUUCCAUAGCUCAAGCUCGGCCCCACCUCAGAAUCCUCUGGCUGAGCUUAGCCUCUUGAAUGUCUUGAUGACAGGUGUUAACUACAGCACCUGGCCUGACUUAGUAUCUUUUUGACAGUCUUCUUUUUAAUGUUUAAGGCAUGAGGCUUUGUUGAUAGGUUUUUACUCUGAACUAGUCUAGAUUAGUUUUUAAUGGAAUGGAAAUGUGAAAGUGUUUCAGGGGGGACCCUGGGGACUAUAUCCCUUAUGUACAAAAGCCUUUCACUUAACAAACCAAAGCAACACCAAGUACCAUCAGUUUUGGUAAGGGGGUUGUGAGAUGGGAUGAGAGGGAUUAGCUUUCUGAGAUAAGUGAAUUUUAAGGUAGGAGAAGUUGUUCAGCUUCAGGAAACACAAAAUAUGUUACUAGUGACCAUUUCUCUUUUUUUCUAUUUGUUCAACAGAGCAUCUUCUUUCUCAACAUGAAAAUGUGAACAAAUAAUGCAGCUUUCAGGAGCAAGUAUUAGAGGCCCUGAAUAACAUGUUUGGCUUUUGAAUUUUGAUAAUACUAUCAGGAUAGUGACUUAUAAUAAAGCAAAAUUUUGUUCUGUUUUGUAUGCCUAAAGUUUGCAGAGUAACUCUCACAUGCUUCCUAGAUGAUUAAGUAGGAAUAAUGUAAUUGAAAUGCUUCUUAAAAAACAAAAUAGCAAAGUAAUAUCCUAUUGCUGAAGAAAAGUUUGUUUUUCUGGAGAGGAAUUUUCUCAAGGCUUGACAUUUCUUGCAUGAUGCUGAAAAAUACCACAGAAAGCAUCAGAGACAGAGACAGGAUCUUUUUCUCUUCAGGAAGGAAGCCCAGGAGAAAAGUCUAUUCUGAGUUACCAAAUUCCCUGGAUCUUAUAUCUCAAUGAUCAUCCUUACUUAGUAACAACCAGACAGAUUAGUUAAGGUUCAUUUUCUGUUCAUGGAUUUGAAUCCCCCCCAAACAGUAUAACUUUUAUGGUUAGCUUUUAUAGACUGUAAAAAAGUGUUUCUGCUUCAAGCCUUGUGCAUAUUGAGACUUGACUAUUGAGGCAGCAAGUGAGCUCUGCAGCACAUUUCUCAGCACCCAACUUAGUGAUGAGUCACACAUUUGCUGUGUCUGCCUUGUUAUUAUCAGUUGUCUCUGCUUUGUUAUUAGUAUAGUUAGUAUUUCCCUAAUUCUGUCCCCCAUUAACUAUUAACCACCACAUAGAAAAUAAGUCUGAAUAAAAGCCACUUAGUGCAAAGAACACUGCUCUUCAUAUGAUGCUGCUAGUCACAUUUGAACCAUGCAAAGACGGAAACAUAAUACUUGUAAUAGCUUGUCAUGCAACACUUAGAAUUACUAACUUAACAUACUUACAAGUAAAGUUUUUGAAUGAUGGUAGAGUACCUAUACUGUUCCUUGUAAGUUCCCAGAAGAAACAUCAGAGUGUCUCAGGUUCUUCCCUUUUCUUGAAUACCAUUGUGUCACUUUAGGUAAGUUACUUGCCUGUCACCUGCAGCUUCAUCUGGAAAGCCGUAUUGGUAGUAUCUAUCAGUAUUGUAAAGAAUUGCAAAUGGACACCAGUCCCUAGCAUAUAAUAGAUGUUAAGUAAAUAUAUCUUGGUAUAUAAACGAAAAGUGAUUCAGUAGUUCAUUUUCUUACUACAGGGGGAUGUAGCUCGGUGGUAAAGUUCUUGAACAGUAUUUUUGUGGUCUUCAGUUCAAUACCUAGUAGUGGCAAAGAAAUAAGAAUAAAAAUCACUUUACUGUGGCAUAUUUUAAUAUACUUGCUUUUUACUCUACCAUGUGUUUGUUUAUAUAUUAUUCUUUUUAGACUAGAUCAGUAAGCAACAAAUCUCAGCUUUCUGAUUUUUAUCAAGAACUUCUUUGCCUGACUAUACAGCAGAGCAUAAAAUACAUAGUCUGGGAUCUGUAUGGCAAUUUCAUUUUAAGGUACAUGAAAUACACAGGUAAGUAUGGUAAUGAGGCUAUUUUAGAGAAAUAUGCUGAUGAAGGAUGGACAGUGUGUUAAUGUAAAGUUACUGUUUUAAAGUUUGUGUGUGUGUGUGUGUGUGUGUGUGUGUGUGUGUGUGUGUGUGUCUGUGUCUGUGUGUGUGUGUGUCUGUGUGUAUGUAUGCAUGCCUGUGAAACAAGCAAUGCAGUAAGGUGGCAACUUGUGGGAGUUGGUUCUUUGCUUCCACUCUGGCUCCUAGGGCUCAAGCGAAUGUCCUCAGGCUUGGCAGCAAGUGCCUUUAUCUGCUUGUUGACCUAUCUCUCUGGCCCUGAGAGAUAUUUGCCAUUUUAAAUAGACCACAGUAAGUGUUAAAACUCAGCCGAGACCUGAGGAAAUGAAUGAGGACAGUGUAUGUUUGGUUGGAGUAUUCUAGGCAAAAAGAAGAGUAUAUACUGAGGCUGUGAUGAGCUGGUAGUGUGCUAUAUUGAGGCCAGGAGAUGAUGCAGCUUUAUAACAGUAUUCACAAACAUUAAAAAGUGAAGUGAGAGAUUGGGGUUAAUAGUUGUGGCCUGAUUGUAGCUAAUCACAUGGCAUUACAGUCUUUUCUAAAGACUUCUCACUGACUUCUCAUAGCAGUUGGAGUUCUCAUUAAAGGGAUUACAGAAAGAUAAAAAAUGUACUUAAAAGCCAAAGUCAAUAGAAGUGAUCAGAUUCCAAAUACGAUGUGAUGUAUGUUGUGAGUAUGGGGUGUGAAGGAAAGUGGUUUCAAGGUAUUGGGCCUUGCGGUCCCAUGAAGGAAGUUAAGCACUUACUGAGAUGCAAUGACUCAGAAGAGCAUGCUUGAGGUUAAGCAGUUUUGACAUAUGUGUGUAGAAGAGCGUGUUAGUUGUCCAGGUUGAUGGUAUAGGAAACAGCUGGAUAUUUUAAUAUGGUAUACUAAAGCAUGUAUCAGAUCCAUUUGAAAGCCAUAGUGUAUAUGCCUGCUUUAAUUGAGGACUAAAUUCAUAUAGAAGCUAAGUACAACCAGAUAGUAGAGCUGAACUGAUAAGACUUGUGGGAUUUUAGAGUAGUUUCGUGAUUUGAUUUUUUUUUUCUUUUCUUUCUUUCUUUUAUUUUUUUAAGUGCCCACAUCCUUCAUAGGAGCAGGACCUAGUAUUUUUGUUGUUGUUGUUUUGUUUUUUGGGUUUUUUUUUUUUUAUUGGAUAUUUUCUUUAUUUACAUUUCAAAUGUUUACCCCUUUCCAGGUCCUCCCUUAGAAAACGUUAUCCCAUCCCUCCUCCCCCUGCUUCUCUGAGGAUGCUUCCCCACCCACUCCUGUCUUCCAUCCCUGGCAUCCCCCUACACUGGGGCAUCAAACACCCUCUGGCUCAAGGGCUUCUUCUCCCACUGAUGUCCAACAAGGCCAUCCUCUGCCACAUAUGAGGCCAGUGCCAUGGGUCCCUCCAUGUUUAUUCUUUGGUUGGUGAUCCACUCUCCAAGAGUUCCAGGGCAGGUGACCGGUUGACAUUGUUGCUCCCUCCAUGGGGCUACAAACAGCCUCACUUCCUUCGGUCCCUUCUCCAACUCCUCCGUUGGGGACUCUGCACUCAGUCCAAUGGUUCCCUGAGAACCUCUACCUCUAUAUUUCUCAGGCACUGGCAGAGCCUCUCAGGAGACAGCCAUAUCAGGAUUCUAUCAGCAAGCACUUACCUACAUCCACAAUAUCAUCUGGAUUUGGUGGCUGUAUAUGGGAUUGAUCCCCAGGUAGGGCAGUCUCUGGAUGGCCUUUCCUUAAGACUCUUCUCUACACUUUGUCUCCAUAUUUCCUCCUGUGAGUAUUUUGGUCCCCCUUCUAAGAAGCACUGAAGCAUCCACAUUUUGGUCUUCCUUCUUAGGCUUCAUAUGGUCUGUGAUUUGAAUCUUGGGUAUUCUGAACUUUUGAGCUAAUAUCCACUUAUCAGUGAGUGCAUCCCAUGUGUGUUCUUUUGUGACUGAAUUAAUCUCACUCACUUGAUAUUUUCAAGUUUCAUCCAUAUGCCUAAGAAUUUCAUGAAGUCUUUGUUUUUAGUAGCUGAGUAGUACUCCGUUGUGUAAAUGUACCACAUUUUCUGUAUCCAUUCCUCUGUUGAGGGACAUCUGGGCUCUUUCCAGCUUUUAGCUAUUAUAAAUAUGACUGCUAUGAACAUAGUGGAGCAUGUGUCCUUAUUACAUGUUGAAGCAUCUUCUGGGUAUAUGCCCAGGAGAUAUAUGCCAGGUAUACGCUGGGUCCUCAGGUAGUACUAUGUCCAGUUUUCUGAGGAACCGCCUGACUGAUUUCCAGAGUGGUUGUACCAGCUUGCAAUCUCACCAUCAAUGGAAGAGUGUUCCUCUUUCUCCACAUCCUCACCAGCAUCUGUUGUCACCUGAAUUCAUGAUCUUACCCAUUAUGACUGCUAUGAGGUGAAAUCUCAGGGUUGUUUUGAUUUGCAUUUCCCUGAUGACUAAAGAUGUUAUGUGCUUCUCGACCAUUCGGGUUUCUUCAGUUGAGAAUUCUGUUUAGCUCUGUUCCCCAUUUUUAAAUAGGGUUAUUUUGUACUCUGGAGUCUAACUUCUUGAGUUCUUUGUAUAUAUUAGAUAUUAGCCCUCUAUUGGAUGUGACAUUGGUAAAGAACUUUUCCCAAUCUGUUGGUUGCCGUUUUGUCCUAUUGACAGUGCCCUUUGCCUUACAAAAGCUUUGCAAUUUUAUGAGGUCCCAUUUGUCGAUUCUUGAUCUUAGAGCAUAAGUCAUUGGUGUUCUGUUCGGGAAAUUUUCCCCUGUGCCCAUGUGUUCGAGAAUUUUCCCCACUUUCUCUUCCAUAAGACUCAGUGUAUCUGGUUUUAUAUGGAGGUCUUCGAUCUACUUGGACUUGAGCUUUGUACAAGGAGAUAAGAAUGGAUCUGAAGAGGUCUGCAACCCUAUAGGUGGAACAACAAUAUGAACAAACCAGUACCCUCAGAGCUUGUGUCUCUAGCUGCAUAUGUAGCAGAAGAUGGCCUAGUCGGCCAUCACUGGAAAGAGAGGCCCCUUGGUCUUGCAAACUUUAUAUGCCCCAGUACAGGGGAACACCAGGGCCAAGAAGUGGGAGUGAGUGGGUAAGGGAGCGGGGGGGGGGGGGGUCAUAGGGAACUUUUGAGAUAGCAUUUGAAAUGUAAAUAAAGAAAAUAGCUAAUAAAAAAAAGAAUGGAUAUUCAGUUCUAUUCUUCAUCUACCUGCCUGUCUGUACCAAUACCAUGCAGUUUUUUGUUGCUGUUUUGUUUUGGUUUUUUUUUUUUAAAUCAGGAAUGAUGAUUGCCCCAGAAGUUCUUUUAUUACUGAGAACAGUUUUCGCUAUCCUGGUUUUUUGCUAUUCCAAAUGAAUUUGAGAAUUGCUCUAUGAAGAAUUGAGUUGGAAUUUUGAUGGGGAUUGUAUAGAAUCUGUAGGUUGCUUUUGGCAAGAUGGCCAUUUUUUUCUAUAUUAGUCCUGCCAAUUCACAAGCAUGGGAGAACUUCCCAUCUUCUGAGGUCUUCGAUUUCUUUCUUCAGAGACUUUUGAAGUUCUUGUCAUACAGAUCUUUCACUUGCUUGGUUAGUCACACCAAGAUAUUUUAUGUUGUUUGUGACUAUUAUGAAGGGUGUCGUUUCUCUAAUUUCUAUCUUAGCCUGUGUAUUUUUGAGUAUAGGAAGGCUACUAAUUUGUUUGAGUCAAUUUAAUAUCCAGCCACUUUGCUGAAGUUGUUUAUCAGCUGUAGGAGUUCUUCGGUGGAAUUUUUAGGGUCACUUAAUUAUACUAUCAUAUCAUCUGCAAAUAGUGAUAUUUUGACUUCUUCCUUUCCAAUUAGUAUCCCUUUGACCUUUUGUUGUCUAAUUGCUCUGGCUAAGACUUCAAGUACUAUAUUGAAUAGAAUGGGAGAAAGGGCAGCCUUGUCUAGUCCCUGAUUCUAGUGGGACUGCUUCAAGUUUCUCUCCAUUUAAUUUGCUGUUGGCUACUGGUUUGCUGUAUAUUGCUCUUACUGUGUUUAAAUAUGGGCCUUGAAUUCCUCAUCUUUCCAAGACUUUUAACAUGAAGGAAUGUUACAUUUUGUCAAAUGCUUUCUCAGCAUCUAAUGAAAUGAUCAUGUGGUUUGGUUUUUUUUAUUAUUAUUAUUGUUGUUGUGGCAUUUGUUUAUGUAGUGGAUUACAUUGACGGAUUUCUGUAUAUUGACCAUGCCUGCAUCCCUGGGAUGAAGCCUACUUGAUCGUGGUGAAUGAUAGUUUUGAUGUGUUCUUGGACUCAGUUUGUGAGAAAUUUAUUAAAUGUUUUUGCAUCAAUAUUUAUAAGGGAAAUUGCUCUGAAGUUCUCUUUCUUUGUUGGGAUUGUGUAGAUUAGGUAUAAGCUGCAAUUGUGGCUUCAUAGAACAAAUUGGGUCGUCUUUCUUCUGUUUCUAUUUUGUGGGGUAGUUUGAAGAGUAUUGGUAUUAGGUCUUCUUUGAAGGUCUGAUAGAAUUCUGCACUAAACCCUUCUGGCCCUGCGCUUUGUUGUUGUUGUUGUUGUUGUUGGAAGGUAAUUUCUUUAAUUUCUUUUUCAAGUAAUGAUGUAAUAUUAACAUUCUCAGACACAGCACACCCCCUAAUGUUAUGAAGCACUUGGAUUUUUAAAGCAAUACUGAUAAUAGUUACCAAAUAUAUAAUCAAAUGGUACAUUAAAAGGAUAUGUGUCAUUUUAUUAUUUCAAACUUUUUGUUCUGAACAAUACAGUUUUACGUUUUAAGAAUACUAUGCUAAUUCACUUCUGGUAGUUGGAAAAUGCCUUCUGAUUCAAUUCGAUAGUUUUAGCACUAGAGGGCAGCCUUGCCUGCUUCUGGAUUGUGAAGAACUGAGUGAAUUUAAUUAAGCUAGCUUAAUCUUAAACAUUCAACCUCAGUAAAUGAAUGUCUUAGUCUCUUUAGAAUCAAGUUUUCCAUCCACUGUGGGUUUUUUCUUAUUAUUCUGAAAGUACAAAAUAAGACUGAUUUUGAGGGAGAGGGAGUUAGUUGUUGAUGUUAUUAUAUAUCUCCAUAUAAAAUCCAAGGAAAACACAAGUAUCAUUUACUGUAGUUAUGUUCAGAUAUGAUAAUGGAUUGAACAUAGAAACAUAUAAAUGGAACAGAAUAUGGAGCUAAUUAAAGAAAAUCUUGUACAUGAAAAUAUUUAUUCAGAAAACAGAUUUAGCUCCUAACUGUGCUGAUCUUGUAAUAGGAGUCAAGGCAAAACCAUAUCCAAGUGAGUACCUAUGUAAAUAAGCUGUUGUACAAGCAUUCCCAGCGCUCCAGAGUUUGCACCUGUGUACUAAAUAUCUGUUCUCUUCAGUUUUAGAGAUCCUGACCCGUUAGUCUUUGGUGCUGGCAAGUACCCAUCACAGUGCUUGGCAUUUAGGCUAAUCCACACUGUUUGAAUAUGUAGAUACAAAGCAUCACAGCUUAUACAAACCUGUUUUCACACGUCUAGGGAAGCUUUCCUAUCAUUGUGUCUGAAGAUAUGAAUAUAUACUUCUGUCUUUUCUUAUUUUCUCUAACAACCUUUACCUAUGGAUAAAGGUUAUUAGACAUUGACUAUUAGACUGUAAUGUUUAGUAGGAAACAAAAUAAAUAAAAACCAAAAGCAUUGUCAACGGUGGAAAGGAAAUUCUAGCCUUUUUACAGUCCUCGGAUUUCCAAUCUGACUUUUAUUGGAGAAGUUGAAGGUGAAAUAUAACAUCUGCAGUGAAUGAACCCUCUUCUUUCUCACAAUUUUCACUAGGAAGGUCUUCUCACAUUCAGGACUGGUUUUCUGCACCUUUGGGCAUUCUUUCUUCCUCAUGCUAGUUCUUGAAUUUCUUUGUACAUGAAGAUCUUUGUAACAUCCUUAUUUAUCAGGACAAGGCAAUACCGUGCAGACUAUCUAUUCUCCAGUCUGAAUCAAGCAUCAGUUGAACUUGCUGGAUAUGUGUUCAAUAAAUGCUAGCAGUUACAUAAAAUCAUUUGAAAGAGUUGGUCCACUUAUAGAUGCAUUUGGUAAUGUAAGAAAAACUUGGCCCCUAAUGUCAAUGAUGUUUACCAAUUAUUUCCUCUGUUAGUACAGUUGACAUGGUUCAGUGGUUCUUAAGAAGUGGUUAAAUAUAAGUAAGUGGGAUUCUUAGUCUAGAGCAGCAGUUCUCAACCUGUGAGUCGGAACCCCUUUGUGGUCAAACAAUUCUCUCACAGGGGAAAUCUAGAGGUUUGAAAAAUAGAUAUUUACAUUACUAUUCAUAACAGUAGCAAAAUUACAGUUGGGAUGUAGCAAUGAGAUUAUUUUAUGGUUGGGGUUCACCACAAUAUGAGGAGCUGCGUUAAAGAAUAGCAUUAGGAAGAUUGAGAACCACUGGUCUAGAUUGUGUUUGGAAUGAAUACACAAGCCUUAACUGCUAUAGUUAUCUUUAAAAAUCUGUCCAUUUACACUGCACAGGAAGAAUUUUAUGAAACAAAGUAUUUUAAUGUCUUACUACUUCUCUUAAAUCAAUUGUUUUUUAAAAUUAGAUAACACUGUUUCAAAAGAAAUUUUACCAGAAGUACAAUUUCUUAAAAUAACUAAGUGUUCUGGUUGGACCAGGGAGCUCUGUGUCUUCUUCACUCACCUGUACUAUUUCCUAACUUUCAAAGGACCACUACCUUUCUAGUUGCUGUGCUUUGAGCACCACUUUGUGCCCACUUGUACUUCACAGAGUGGAGAAACUCUAGAUUUCUAUUUAGAAAUUUCUAUUACGUCCUUACAUAAAGUCAGGAAGUAUCUGGCAUUGUUUUGAUCUGCAUAUGAUGACAAGUGCUUCAAGUCUCACUGGGAACUUUCUAGAACGAUAGAGUAUGUUAGCCUUGUUUUAGAUUCAUUAUCUAGAGUUAUGCCAAAAAGAGAAGGUACUACAAGUAUCCAGCAGAUAUGGAACAGACAAAAUGAUUGACUGUCAAUAGUUUGAAGCUAAAACGUUGCUAUAUUCUUUAUUAUAUAAGAUAAACUUGAAUAGUUCCUAAACUGGUUUUGUAUUUGUUUAGUUUUGUUUUGUUUUUGGCAGUCUCCUAGAAUUGGGAUGCCUGGAACAUACUAUGUUAGGCCAAAGUGGCUUCAAACUCAAAACAGUCCUGCCUCUGCCUCCCGCGCCUCAGCCUCAGUGCUGGAUUUAUAGGUGGGGGCCACCAUGUUUUUUCUAAACUCUUUUGAAGCUUAUGAUCCCCAAGAGGACAAAGCUCAGAAAGCUGCUAAGGUAUUCAGUUCAUAAGGUAUUCAUUGAGUUAUUCACUUCAUAAUGUAUUUGUUGUGAGAAUAUACAUGACUAUCAUCCUUCCAAUGCUGUAAAUUUCUUGAAAAAUCUGCUUAUGCUCGUGGCUAGUAAUUUAGAAGUUUGCUUAGUGACAUGAGUGAACUAAUGAACUCUUACACAAAAUGUCUACCUGUUUCUUACACAUUCUUAAGAAUGAAAAGCAUGUCUUAAGUUUCUAACAUAGUGUCUUGUCUCAAGAGUUUGCUGGAAAUGUUGGCUGAACCAAAUAGAUGAAAGUAUGCAUGUCACCAGGGUCUGAGGUCUUCUUAAUGAAUAAUGAAUUAUUUCAUGACUGAAGACACCCCCUCAGUAUGUUCUCAGUUCUUAAUAGUUGAAUAACGUGAACAACAAGCUACAAGAUGAGCGUCUGUGACUUCUCGGCAGAUGAGACUUUGGAGGUGGGGGAACUGGAGUUUUGAGGAUGCACACUGGUAACCUGUCUUGUUUUCUAAAGCCCCCCAUAAUGCCUAAUGCUUUACUUUGGGUGCAGUGGGUUCUGAUAAUUUGUUAAAUAACAAUCAGUGCAUGAUACUAAUUGAUGAACAGAGCCACUCUUAAGGCCGGCUCCUACCCCUGUCAUUAAAGCCGUGAGCUCUAGGAAAGAAACUGGAUCACUCGGAAAUCCCUGGAACUCUGAAGUUAAAUCAGAACUGAGUAAGUCAUCAUUUUCAUACAGGCAUUUUUCUAAUGAUGCUACUUUGUUGAAAAAAAGCAAACUGCAAGAUAACCCCAGCAGAAAAAAUUCUUCAGAAGGAAAGCUUCCUUGAGUGAGUGCUUCAUCCUUGAUGGUAGGCCACUUGACUUAGUGAGUCAUCUUCCUAUUUACCGAUGAUUUGUCUUAAGUUUGGUCAUGAGAUAAUUACGUUGAUUUGUCUAUAUUAGGAAGUAAUUGGAGAAAAGUUGAUUGCUAUCAGUUGAAUGAGGGGAAAUCUGAUUGUUCUUAAUCUAGAGGCAUGACUUGGGCUCUAACUUUAUAAAGAAUGGAUUUAUGGCAUUAUUCCUUGUGUCUAGAAGGCACAACACCAUUCUGUCUCUAGUAUCCUCCAUGUAUCUACUGCCUCUCAUAAUCAUUGAAGUCUCCAUCCCUACUCUGAGGUCUGGUUGUUUUUAGAAAAUAAAAGUACCCAUUCCUUCUGCCCACCUUGAUCCACCAUGAGUCCUGUAUAGAGUGCUGGCAAUGCUAGACUGGGAUAGCCUAUCACAUACCGUCCUACCUUACUAAACUGCGAGCUCAAGAGCAGGCCUAUAGAUCUUUGCUAUACUUGUUCCCAAUGCUUAGAACUAUACUCACUAUGGAAAAAGCACUAAUCAAUGGAGCAAGUAAAUAAAUGAGAUAAUUUGCUCAUGAGACCUGUUAGCCAACCUGUGUAGUUUUGUUCUCUGUGGUACACAUUAUCAUUCCAUUUUUUCAUAUUGAACUACUAUUUAAUACAAAUGAAUAUAAGAAAUGCUUAUUAACUGUAAUAUUUUUAUCCUUAAAUGGCAUGUAUUUUAAUGACUGUCCAUUGCUGAUGGCACAGGGAUAGUUCUUAUGCUUUGCUGAAGGAACUUCAAGUUAGCAUAGCAUUUUUUUAUAAGGCACCUAAGAAGAUAUAUUCAAAACUCUUAGCAGCUUUCAUAUCCUUUUACCUAGCCAUUCUGGUUACAAAUGUAUCCUGGAGAAAAAUAUUUUUAACUUGGGGCAGUUAUAUAAAUGUUGCAAUGUAACUUCUAACGCACCUUGGAGUGUUAUACCAUCUUAUACCAUGCCAUAUUAGCGAGUGAAAAUGACAUUUUAAAUCACCAUAAACAAUGUGAUAGUGUGCUUUAAAACAGGGCAUGUACAAGGAAAAGACUGGAAAGGUUGAGCACCGACUGUAAAAAAUGAUAACUUCUGGGUAACAGAGUUUUUCUCUUAUUGUUUUUUUUUUUCUGUAAUAAAAUCAGUAUGUAACAGUUUUAGAAUAUAAAAUCAAUAAAGGUCAUUUAAAGAAUA